GCCGACAUGGCGGAAUUGGCAGACGCACUGCACUCAAAAUGCAGCGCCCUUUGGGCGUCCGGGUUCGACUCCCGGUGUCGGCA
rnacentral:tRNA from 2 species